ACCUUACAAGUAAAUCUAACAGAAAUCAUGAUAUGCUUCUAUGGGUAAAUACUACUUUAAUGUUUAUACACACAUAAUGUUUAAUAUGCAGAGCAUCCUUGCAAAGUAUAUGUUCACAGUGAGUCCAUUUUAAGGAAUAGAAGCAAUAUAAAAAUAAUAUUAGCCAGGUAGUGGUGGCUUUUAAUCCCACUACUCAGGAGAUAGAGACAGAUUUCUAUGAAUUGAAGCCAGCCUGCUCUAUAGAGCUAGUUCCAGGACAGCCAGGAACACAGAAGGCCUGUAUCAAACAAAACAAAACAAAAACGGAUAAUAGGAAAAUUUUAGAUUUUGUAAUUGUCCUUUAUAUGCUUUCUUUGUAAAGGAGACAGCAUGGUACACCCUUGCAGAAAGUACUAUUUCACUAAGUGAAGAUUUGGGACCUUCAUCUAUUUAUUGUGAAUAAUUUUAUAUUUUUAAAAAUCAGUCAACUCAAACUUCAUAUGGAAAGUUAAAAAAUCCAGGACAACAACAUUAAUUCAAAGUCACAUGUGAGAAUAAUUUUAACAUGUUAUAAUUUAUUAUAGAGAGAAUAUUAAAAUAUCUAUGCCAGAAAAUGUCUAGAAAGGGGCAACAAUUGGGACUGCGAGAUGACUUAGCUGGUAAAGGCACUUGCUUCCAAGCUUGAAUACCUGAACUUGAUCCAUGGGAUGCACAUGGUAAAUGGAGAGAACUGAAUUCAGCAGAUUGCCCACCCACACACAUACAUGCACACACAGAUAAAUAGUAUUAAAAAUGUAGUAGAAUGUGGCUAUACUUAGUUCUGGUGCUGUAUCUGUAGCUUUCUUUUGUGUCCCUGCCUUUUUGGUGAUGGUCAGUCUUCAGAAAUAGCUAUGGCCUAGGAAAGGGGAUUUAAAUGGUCCAUCUCAAACUCCUGUCCCACUCACAGCAGACAAAGCUUUCACCUCAGCACUUCUGUUGGAGAAAGUAUCAGGACUAUCUGUAAGACUUUGUAGUUUUUCUCUGAAGGUUGCUCACCAGUCAGUUAUCUAUAAUGUAUAGGGCUGCUUUUAUGAAUAUGUAACCCGUGCAAAUCAUAUAGGUCUCCACUUACUAUGAGGUCCUAUUGCCAUGAAAUUCCUAACGAUGUUUAAAUAAAUGGUCCUACAAAAAUGUUUCCCCUUCCGAACAGGUUACCAUGUAUUCAAGGGUGGCUUCAAACUCUAUUUAUAGCUUAGGAUAAACUUGAACUCCUGAUGAUCCUCCUGCCUCCACCUUCUGAGGGUUGGAACUACAGGCAUUUGCCACCAAUACUGGGUUGGAGAUUUUAUUUUUCUCUGGACUUCACAAAUUAUGUGGUCAAUGCUAAUACCGUAGUUUGUAGUUUAAAAAACAAUCCAAUCACCAGAACCCCAAGAAGUAGAAGAAAGUGGGCAGGAAUAAAAAAUAAAAAUGGCAUUAUACAAGUGAAUGCCGAAUGACACAAAGAGGUCAGACAGACCUGGGGUUGAAAGGUAGCCAGCUUUCUGCCUUGCUGUGUGACCUUGAGCGAGUUCCACAAUCCUUCCUCCUCUUCCCUGGUUCUUCUUGACCCCUCCUCUUUUGGUCUCCAAUUGAGUCAGUAAUAGUAUCUGCUCACAACCAAGUUAUGUAGGAGAAUUCUAUCCUAAUCCUAGCCAUCAACUCUGGCUAUGGUUCAUGUAUUUCUGCUGUUUCCAGAGACCCUUGAUUUUAACCACAUCAGAGCCCUCAUUUAAACCAUUUGUAAAUAUCUUUCUAUGGACCUACCUAACUACUGAAGUACAAGAAUUUUGUCACUUCAAAUUGACUGGGGAUUUUUUUUUCUGUGUCCUCAGAUCCCAUAAAGAGUUAUUUAUUGAAACAAUGUACAUGUUUACCAAAAUAAAAUGCACAAAUACUUUUCAAAAUUAGUUUUUGAGGGGCAUAUGAACAAGCUUUUCACCU
rnacentral:lncRNA from 1 species